UUACCCCUUCCACUCCUUCUGCCACAUGAAGAUGUAGAGUUCCUCCCCUCCAGAGGAUGCAGCAAUCCAGGUGCCAUCUCAGAAGUGGAGGCUGGACCCUCCUCAGACACUGAACCUACUGGCACCUUGAUUUAGGACUCCCCAGCCUCCAGAACUGGCUGGCAAGAUGAUCAAAGGAGGUGCGGUGUGACUCGCAAGCUGGAGAGACGGGAAAGCCUGCUCCUGAUGUGGAAAGCAUCAUUAUUAUCCCCCACUGCAGACAGCCACAGAGCGCUGGAGCUGGGAGGAACCUUCCAGAUCCCUCAGGGGCUGGACUGCUUAUCUCCACAGCAGCAGCCCCGCACCUCUGAGGCAACAAAGCUAGAAGCUGUCAUUUCAAGUGGAGAAACGCAGGCGCAGAAAAGAACCUGGAACUAGCAGCUGUUUUGGCAGCCAGAUGAGAUGCCCCCUGGGAGAGCCAUGCCUCUUGUGGAAAGGGCCUGCUCCUCCUCACCUUCAGGAAGUUCUACUAAAAUUCAGUAAUCUUACUAGGCAGUAAGAUUCAGGACAUAGGCAUGGGCAAGGACUUCAUGUCUAAAACACCAAAAGCAAUGGCAACAAAAGACAAAAUUGACAAAUGGGAUCUAAUUAAACUAAA
rnacentral:lncRNA from 10 species